UAGUAAGCUAAUAAUUGGACUCCAUGGGAUCGAGGAAUGAACAUAUCUGAAUAGGCAAAAAGGACUUUAAUAUGUUAUCUGUGAAAAGCCUAAUCACCUUAGUGGAGCUAAACUAGUUAAACUCCUUCAUAACUAUUAAUUUGUGACAUUAAACUUGUAAAGUUAGGAGAAAUUUUUUUGAAAUGCAAACAAAUCUAAAAAUGCCUCACCAGCUCUAG
rnacentral:misc_RNA from 1 species